UGACCAUCCUCGAGAGAACGUAAAGAGGAUUAAGGCCAGACGGACAGCCGGGUCAAAAGCCGA
rnacentral:sRNA from 1 species